UGCUCGCUUGGGCAGUACACUAAAACUAGAACAAUACUGAGAAGAUUAAUUAUUAGCAUGGCCCCUGCACAAGGAUGACAUGCAAAUCUGUGACGUGAUACAUAGUUUU
rnacentral:snRNA from 1 species